rnacentral:rRNA from 1 species
GAUGAACGCUGGCGGCGUGCCUAAUACAUGCAAGUCGAGCGAAGCGGGGACGGGUGAGUAACACGUGGAUAACCUCCUAUAAGACUGGGAUAACUUCGGGAAACCGGAGCUAAACCGGAUCCUUAUAGAUGGAUCCGCGCUACAUUAGCUAGUUGGUAAGGUAACGGCUUACCAAGGCAACGAGUCAUAGCCGGCCUGAGAGGUUGAUAGGGCACACCUGAACCGAGACACGGGUAAGAAGCCUACGGGAGGCAGGAAGAGGGAAUGUGCCGCAAUGGGCGAAAGCCUUACGGAGCAAUGCCGCGGGAGUGAUGAAGGUUUUUGGGUCGUAAAACUCUGUUAUUAGGGAAGCGGUACCUAAUCAGAAAGCCACGGCUAACUACGUGCCAGCAGCCGCGGUAAUUC